rnacentral:tRNA from 1 species
GUACAUAUAGCUCAGUGGUAGAGCAUGUGCUUACCAUUCAUGAGGUCCUGGGUUCAAUCCCCAGUACCUCUA